GGGAGAGUAACACGUGGGAACGCGCCCUUCGGUUCGGAAUAACUCAGGGAAACUUGAGCUAAUACCGGAUACGCCCUAACGGGGAAAGAUUUAUUGCCGGAGGAACGGCCCGCGUCCGAUUAGCUAGUUGGUGAGGUAAUGGCUCACCAAGGCGACGAUCGGUAGCUGGUCUGAGAGGAUGACCAGCCUCACUGGGACUGAGACACGGCCCAGACUCCUACGGGAGGCAGCAGUGGGGAAUAUUGGACAAUGGGCGCAAGCCUGAUCCAGCCAUGCCGCGUGGAUGAUGAAGGCCCUAGGGUUGUAAAGUCCUUUUAACGGGGAAGAUAAUGACGGUACCCGUAGAAUAAGCCCCGGCUAACUUCGUGCCAGCAGCCGCGGUAAUACGAAGGGGGCUAGCGUUGCUCGGAAUUACUGGGCGUAGAGCGCACGUAGGCGGAUUCUUAAGUCGGUGGUGAAAUCCUGGAGCUCAACUCCAGAACUGCCUUCGAUACUGGGAAUCUUGAGUCCGGGAGAGGUGAGUGGAACUGCGAGUGUAGAGGUGAAAUUCGUAGAUAUUCGCAAGAACACCAGUGGCGAAGGCGGCUCACUGGCCCGGUACUGACGCUGAGGUGCGAAAGCGCGGGGAGCAAACAGGAUUAGAUACCCUGGUAGUCCACGCCGUAAACGAUGGAUGCUAGCCGUUAGCGAGCUUGCUCGUCAGUGGCGCAGCUAACGCUUUAAGCAUCCCGCCUGGGGAGUACGGUCGCAAGAUUAAAACUCAAAGGAAUAGACGGGGGCCCGCACAAGCGGUGGAGCAUGUGAUUCAAUUCGAAGCAACGCGAAGAACCUUACCAGCUCUUGACAUGUCUCGUAUGGAUUUCAGA
rnacentral:rRNA from 1 species